UGCCUACGGGUGGCUGCAGUGGGGAAUCUUCCGCAAUGGGCGCAAGCCUGACGGAGCAACGCCGCGUGAGUGAUGAAGGCCUUCGGGUUGUAAAACUCUGUCUUCAGGGAAGAAAAAAAUGACGGUACCUGAGGAGGAAGCCCCGGCUAACUACGUGCCAGCAGCCGCGGUAAAACGUAGGGGGCAAGCGUUGUCCGGAAUUACUGGGCGUAAAGGGCGCGUAGGCGGUUAUUUAAGUCAGAGGUGAAAACUCUGGGCUCAACUCAGAGCCUGCCUCUGAAACUGGGUGACUUGAGGGCAGGAGAGGGGAGUGGAAUUCCCAGUGUAGCGGUGAAAUGCGUAGAUAUUGGGAGGAACACCAGUGGCGAAGGCGACUCUCUGGCCUGUUACUGACGCUGAGGCGCGAAAGCGUGGGGAGCAAACGGGAUUAGAUACCCGGGUAGUCC
rnacentral:rRNA from 1 species